rnacentral:rRNA from 1 species
AUGUCAUCGACGAGAGCGCGGCGGAGCGGCGGCCGGCAGUUCGCGGCGGGCGGCCGGUGGCGGCACGUGGCGGUGGUGGACACGGGGUGCCGGUGCCGCCCGCGCCGCCCGAGGCUGGCGUCCUUCCUCUGGCCGUCCACGAAGCCGCCGGUGACGAGGAGCAGCAGCAGCUCCCAUCCGUCAUCCUUCGUCCCCUCCUCCGCCUCCGCCCACGUCUACAAGCACCACCAGGAGCCCUACGGGGUGACGGCAAAGGCGUCGGCGCUGGUUGCGGCGAAGAAGGUGGGCAGCAAUCCGGCGAAAAAGAGGCCCGAGAAGAUGGCGGCGGCGGCCGAGGAGGAGGAGGUUGGGGUGGCGGUGGAGAAGGAGUCGUCGGAUCCGCGGGCCGACUUCCGUGACAGCAUGGUGCGGAUGGUGGUGGAGAUGGGGCUCUGCGACUCGGACGGCCUCCGCUCCAUGCUUCGCCGCCUGCUCGCCCUCAACGCGCCGCGGCACCACGCCGCCAUCCUCGCUGCCUUCGCCGAGGUCUGCGCCCAGCUGGCCUCGGAGUCUCCAGCGCCGCCGCCUCCGGCGUAUCAAUACACGAGUGACGAGUGA